GCUUUCAACAUCCCCGUUCGCCAAUUCGAGAGGAUUGGGCGGACUGAAGGC
rnacentral:sRNA from 1 species